GGCGAACCGAUGCGACCCGUGCUCGUUUCGGGCUUGUGUGCCGCGUCGAGUUUGUCAUCCUUCCAGAAAGCUGCGUCUACCAUUCACUUGGCCGGACGUACGUGAUCUGGAUCGAUUACUUUGAAAAAAUUAGAGUGUUUAAAGCAGGCUUACGCUAUGAAUACAUUAGCAUGGAAUAAUAAUAUAGGACUUUGGUUCUAUUUUGUUGGUUUCUAGGACUGAAGUA
rnacentral:rRNA from 1 species